AUGCCUGAUUAUUUUCUUGUGUAAUAUUUUCUUGUUAUUCUAUUUUAUUUGUAGGUCGAUUCACUCUCUGUGUGUGGGCCUUACAUUCUUCAAGACUGACCCGUAUACCAGUUCCCACACCAGUUCUGGGACUACCUGAUCUCCCCCAGUGUAUCCUGUUCAACAAUUUCUUGCAGGUGUUGGACAGGACACAUCUUUCUGCAGCUUUCAGGUAUGCAGUGCUAAGGGAGUGCUAAGUUUAUGAAAAUGAACUGGCUGUGCAAAGUAUGUAACUUCACCACCUCAAAACGAUCAGACCUAUUGAAGCACAGCAGAUUACAACAUGGGCAUUUUGGUCGAAAUCAGUCCAUACCCUGUCUCCAUUCUGAUUGUCCUUGCACCUUUAGGACAUGGGGUGCAUUACGGACACAUCUGUCUAGGUAUCACUCACAGGCAACCAAGCCAGGAAACAUCCUUGCCUUCACAUGCCUAGUCUGUAAUUCAAGCUUUUUUGACAGUGAAAGACAAUAUUUUGAGCACAUUGGUAGCCAUCUCAAGAGAUUUGAAACUGUGCCUUGUGUUUUUAAAGGUUGUGAUUAUAAGACAAAUAUAUACACAACGUUCCACAGUCAUAAGAGCAGGAAACACAACCCACAUUCAGUGGAAGAUUUUAAGACCUCUGUUUUUCAUCAAUACCAAAUGCAAACAGAUGAAGAAAGCAACUUUGUUGAAGAGGUAUACCACUGUGACUCUGUCCUUGGGGAGGAUGAGGAUUUGCACAAAAUUAUUAUUAAGAGACUGGGGUUGCUCCUACUUAAAUUGGAAUGCAUUUUCAGUGUCUCCAAUACAUGCAUAGAUGAACUAAUAGAGGAACUUCAUUUCCUUACAGCAUCUGCAUCUGGACCCGUCAUUAAAGAAAUUGUCUUGAGCACUUUGAGAAAGCAUAGCUGUUCUUUUGAAGAUUCUGUGAUAUCAGAACUGGUUAAAGACCUUAGCCAGCUAAACCCUUUCUGUGCUGCUUUAGGAGUGGAUGGACCUUUAAGCAGUCAGUACAGGAGAGCGCAAUUUAUGAAGGAGCAUUUCUCGCCGAUUGAACCAGUUGAGUACAUACUUCAUAGUCGUGAGAAAAAGACAUAUCAGUAUGUACCGAUUCUCCCAUUAUUGUCUCAACUUGUGAACAACAGACACAUUCAAAACACAAUAUUACAGAACAAAAGGCCAUCUGAUGUCUCUUCUGGAUACAAAUCAUUUCAUGAUGGAUCUUUCCUAAAAGAAAAGAGCUUUUUAUGUGAAGAUGAACUUAAACUCCCACUCAUCCUUUACAUAGAUGACUUUGAAGUCUGCAACCCUCUGGGAACAUCCCGCAAGAAGCAUAAAGUCACAGCUGUGUACUGGGUGUUUGCAGACAUACCUGCCACAUUGCGAUCUACUCUAACUUCUAUUUACUUAGCCAUUCUUUGCAAGACAGUUGAUGUCACUCAGUAUGGAUACCAAAAAGUGCUGGAGCCACUGCUCAAAGAUUUGAAGUCCUUCGAAGAUGACGGUAUUUUUGUACCAAGUCUGGGCAAAGUGCUCGAG
rnacentral:lncRNA from 15 species